rnacentral:rRNA from 1 species
CUGUACUACCGAUAACCGUUUGAGAGAAGGGAUGACACAGUAGGAUAAGCUAAGCACACUGUUGGUUAUGUGUGCCCAAGCAUUGAGGCAGUCAAAGUAGGCAAAUCCGCUUUGAUAAUGCUGGGAUGUGAUGGGGAGCGAAAUUUAGUAGCGAAGUAGCUGAUUUCACACUGUCAAGAAAAGUCUCUAUCGAGGUUAAAGGUACCCGUACCGCAAACCGACACAGGUGGGUGAGGAGAGUAUCCUAAGGCCAGCGAGAGAACUGUUGUUAAGGAACUCGGCAAAAUGACCCCGUAACUUAGGGAUAAGGGGUGCCACCAUCAGGUGGCCGCAGAGAAUAGGCCCAAGCGACUGUUUACCAAAAACAUAGGUUUCUGCUAAGUCGCAAGACGAUGUAUAGGAGCUGACGCCUGCCCGGUGCUGGAAGGUUAAGGGGAUCUGUUAGAGCAAUCGAAGCAGUGAACUUAAGCCCCAGUAAACGGCGGCCGUAACUAUAACGGUCCUAAGGUAGCGAAAUUCCUUGUCGGGUAAGUUCCGACCCGCACGAAAGGCGUAACGAUUUGGGCACUGUC